GUUAUUCGACCACGUAUCAGCAAGUCAGCUCGUUUGAGAUACAGGCGGUUCGGUUUUGACGAGUUGCGGGUUUAACCUUUGGGGUUGGUUUGGAACGUUGAACUGAACGUAUAAACCGAAUUGACCAUUUAAUUUUAGUAUUUAUAUAUAUUUUAAAAUUUUCGAACAUGUAGUUCUGUAUGCGUAUAUUAUAAUUAUGAUUCUUCUAAUCAUUUGUAAUUUUUUUAGUAAACUGAUCAUUUUGUAUAAUAAAUUGGUUCAAACCGACGAAACCGAGCUGUCAAAACUGUCAAACCAGCCCAUUUGGCUUGUCCUUCCCUGGAACGGUUGUUAGCAUUUCGACCCAUAAUUUUGUGAAAACUAUCUUGGGCUGUGACCAUCAAUAUUUUAAAAACAUAUAAACAUAUAAACUUCCAGACUAAACCUCUUUUUCAACAACAUUAAACAGUUAUAGGUUAAAGUACAUCAAUUACUUUGGGAUACUGUCUUUUGUCACUGACCAUCAAUAUUUAAAAUUUUUAAUCUUGCAACUUUUACUGGCCGCUCGAGGUAAUCAAAAGACUUUUACCCGGUACCAAAUGCUCAUCCCUACGCAGAGCUAACGUUUCUUUAUAACAUUUAAGGUUGCCAAAUUAAUUCUUAAUUUCUGAGAAGACAAGUGAACAUGAACAGAAAACAUAUAAUGACAAGAUGUUUAAAUAUAUUAUACUAAUGUUGUAACACCUCGAAAUUUUGUGUCCAAUAAAGUAUUGACACGUGUCAUAAGUUUACACGUGGUAUAAAAUACUAAAUAAAGGACUAAAGUUGACAAACCUUGAAAGUAUGUAAAUUCGAGGGUUAGAAAUGUCAACGAGGGGUGAAUAUACAGUAAUAACCCUAAUUGAUGCUCGUACCUUCAAACGAAUAAAUCAUGGAUCGUACGGAGCGAAACGCGGAAGAAAGUGAGAGAUUACAAACUACAAGGGUUAAAUGUGUCAACAUGUUUAAUUUAUACCUCUGAGUGACCUUUUGACAAACCCGAGACUUUGUAAUAGUAAAUUACACUCACUAGAAUAUACGAUAUAAAUUUCGUGAAGUUCCGUUUUAAAACGAGAAAGUUAUAAUCAAAUUCGUAUGCUUGGGGUUAAAAGCGUCAACAAUAAAAGUUAAGGCUUUUCGGAUAGUAAUUAAACUAACCGGGGACUUAACAACACGGGUAAAAGUCGCGAGGCCCUUAUUCGUAAAUAAUCGAGGCCCAAAUCACAAAGUUACCCCUUCAAAACAGAAAGGUCAGGCUAAUCAUUACAAAAGAUUUGAAAAUCUUGAAUUACAGGCCUCAGGCGGGCCGCGUUAAAGAAACCAGCAAGCUAAUGCGGGCCGCGAGCCACCUGCAGAUUCGUUUACUGACAUUAGGAUUCAGGCGGCCCGCGUGAGCCCAGCUUGAAUCUUAAAGCGGGCCGCGUGAGCCUCCCAGAGGUAGAAAACUUGGACAGAUUCACUGUUUGAGCUUGUAAACGAUCUUGGAUGCAUUAAUUGAAGCAUGGGCGCCCCCUACAUGUCCCCUAGCACUCAGGGACACCUGCUGAUCAUCCAUAAGCAAUUAUAGGAUGAGUUGUAAUGAUCUUGUGCAUGAAAUUUCACUAUAAAAGGCAAUGCAUUGCACACAUUUGAAACACACCUCAAACCUGCUUUCUUGAUCAUCUCUGGAGCUCUAAAGCAUUCCUCUAUCAUCUCUAGUCGUGCACCAAGCUUCUGUAAGUUUGCCUAACCCUUUGUGGUUUAGUUUUUGCAUAGUUUAGCUUAAAAGUCAAUCCUUCGUAAUUAACGAUUGACUUUGCGAUAAAUCACGAAUGGUCCAAUGAUUUGUCGAAUCGAAGGUAGUUAUAUGUUGGUAAUCAUGUGGGCUUUAAACCCCUAAAAGGGCACCCUCUGAUUCCCAAUCUAACUAGUCCGAAUGACGAGUCAAACUUGCUUAGAAAAAGUCAACAGAAUGCCUUUUUGCGAUUUUAUGCAUAAUCAGUAAUGUAGAUGACUCGGUUCGGAACCGAAAGUCGCAAAGCUUUGACUUUCGCUUUGACUUCAGUUCUGACCCGUUAUGGUAUGAUUUAGAUAUGCCUUAGGACUCUCUUAGGAUCAGGUUACAUGAUGGUAUAACCCUCUGUGACCGGUUCGUUGUUUGUCCGAGUCUUUUACACAUUUCCGUUAAUUGCUUAAAAGUUGACCGUAACGCCCUUUACAUUUUAAAACGAGAAUUUCGGACAUGUGAAAGAACCAUAACUUUAGUUACUGAAUUCUAAGCAUGUCCCAAAAAUUUCACGUCAAUCCGAGGUCCAGAAUAGGAGUUAUGCUAAAUAGCGCAAUUACGGAAUUUUUAGUAAUUCAAUGGCGCAAUUAGCAUAACGCCUAUCUAAACCCAGAUUUCGACACCAAACUUUUUACACACUGAUGUAAAAUAAUAUUUAGAAAUUUUAAAGAUUUUUAAUCAUUUUUAACCCGCUCAUAACCUGCGGUUAUGGCAUCGGUUCGGUAAAUACCGAAUAUACCCUUUACGAGCAUAACUCGAGUUCUACAAGGUCUUUUGACCCGAUUCUAGUUGCUACUGAUUUUAAAUAAUAAAUAGAGUAUUUUAGACUUUAUAAACUGUUCGGGAAACUCAGACUUCCUGUAGAACUCAGAAACCUCAUUUUAAAUAAUAAUGAAUUGUAUGUUUCUUUUUUUAGCACUUUGUUUUUUUGGCUAGUUGCCUUUAAACGAAGAUGCUUUGUUUGUAAUUUUGUUUUUGAAAUAUUAACAAAAUUUACCCGGGGAUUCCCCGU
rnacentral:lncRNA from 1 species